CUUAGCCUAGAGAAUUAAGUAAACAUGUGUUACUUCACUCCUACACACCGUUUAAACGCAGCUAACAGGCUUUCUGAAUAAACCAGCCCGCCCCCGGCGGUAUCAGGAGUUAGGUUCCGCAUAUGCUGUCGCCAGGCUGCAGCCGCCUGAGGGGACUCGCCCGGGGCCCCGCCCUCAGAGCUCACACCCGCCGUGCGCUCGCGCCCCAGGGGCCGCCCCCCGACACUCCAGUGCGACUCUGCGUGCACAGGCCAGAGGCUCAGAACCAGCGCCGGGCUGCCCUGCUCGGCCUCCUGGGCGCAGCGGCGUUUGCCCGUGCACGUGCCCUCGCAUCGCGCGCUCCGGGGCCGGGCUCCGGGCGGUUCUCGCCGCUGCAGUUCCACCGGGACUUCCGCGCUUCGGCGGCCUGUCUGACGAGCCGCCGCGCCCAGAGAGGUUCAGGUUGGAGCGACACUUGCCAGAGGGCAGCGGUCACGCCAGAUCUUCGGCUUCCAUUCCGUUUUCGCGCGCUUCUCCCUCUUUGCAAGCUCUGGAUUCUCUUUGUUCUUUCCCAGUAGAGGAAUCCCAAGGAGGACUGAUCCGUUUUGGCAGGUGCACAACCAUGGUCUUCCAGGUAUAGUGAGGCUGGUCUAUUUGAGACCCCCCUGGCUUUCUGUUGGCUCCCAUAGGCUUGGAUGCUGCUGCCCCAUCAUGACCGGUGAUGAUGCUUGUCCUGGGUUGUCUGAAGGUUCGCACUUAAGUAUCUCUGGUGAGAUGCCCCACGGACAGCUUUACGCAGCACACUAGGAGGUGGGCUUCUUGAAGAUCCAUUACCAUGGCUUACUCGCAGAGUCCUUUCAGUGGUAUAACUUGGAAAGUGUUUGAUCCUUUCAAGACUGGCCCUGAGCUCCAGCAUACUAUUGGCCAAGAACACAUGAUACCUGAUUUUCACUGAGGGGCUCAUUUAGAGAUGCUCCUUUUAUGUGGGACCCAGCGGUAC
rnacentral:lncRNA from 1 species